UGGGGAAUCUUGCACAAUGGGGGCAACCCUGAUGCAGCGACGCCGCGUGAGCGAUGAAGCCCUUCGGGGCGUAAAGCUCUUUCGACCGGAACGAUAAUGACGGUACCGGGAGAAGAAGCUGCGGCUAACUACGUGCCAGCAGCCGCGGUAAUACGUAGGCAGCAAGCGUUGUUCGGAGUUACUGGGCGUAAAGAGUGAGUAGGCGGUUUUCUAAGUUCGGUGUGAAAUCUCCCGGCUUAACUGGGAGGGUGCGCCGAAGACUGGGAAGCUGGAGUGUGGGAAAGGCAGGCGGAAUUCCUGGUGUAGCGGUGAAAUGCGUAGAUAUCAGGAGGAACACCGGCGGUGUAGACGGCUUGCUAGACCAUAACUGACGCUGAGGCACGAAAGCGUGGGUAGCAAACA
rnacentral:rRNA from 1 species